rnacentral:lncRNA from 1 species
UAGCGACAGUAAGUGGCUGCAAACCCAGUGCUGCUCCGGUUCCUAGUCACAGAGAAAUCCUGACCGAGAUGCAGCCCUAGAGGGUGGAGCAGCCCUCUUCUUGGGGGCUCCCACUUCUGUCCUCAUGGUGUACCCUGGGCAGGCUGGGCCUGAGUGUUGCAUAGGCAGUGGAGACCGUACAAACCAGGAACUGAGGGAACAGCUGGAGAGCUGACUGGGAAUGGAUGCCAAGCUCAAUUACAGGAUGGUCGUGGACCCAUCCCCUGAAACUGCGAGCCAGCCGGUACUAAACACUUUAGUUCACAAUUGCCUCGGCCAUGACGUCUCUUCAUGACAAUGGAAAGGAAACCAAGACACCAUCUAUCAUCUGUCUGUCUCCAUGCUGCCCGCCUGUCUGUUCACUCUCUAUGCAUACCUAUCCAUACAUUUUACUAUUGCACCGGUUAGUUCUUGUUUUUGUCAACGUGACACAAGCUAGAGUCAUCUGGGAAGAAGAACUUCAGUUGAGAAAAACGUCUCCAUCAUAUGGGCCCACGACAAGUCUGUGGGGCAUUUUCUUGUUUAGUGAUCAAAGUGGGAGGGCUCAGGCCACUGUGGUUGGUGCUAUCCCUGGGCAGGUGGUCCUCAGUUGUAUAAGAAAGCAGACUCAGCAAGUCGUGAUGAGCAAGUCAGUACACAGCACUCUUCCAUGGCCUCUGCCUCAGUCUCGGCUCAAGAUUCCUGCCCUGAGUUCCCUCAGUAAUGGACCGUGGUUAAGAC